GACGAACGCUGGCGGCGUGCCUAACACAUGCAAGUCGAGCGGAGUUGACAAGAGGAAGUUUUCGGAUGGAAUCUUGCCAGCUUAGCGGCGGACGGGUGAGUAACGCGUGAGCGACCAACCUUGCACGAGGGGGAUAACGGACCGAAAGGUUCACUAAUACCGCAUGAGACCACGGUGUUGCAUGACACAGAGGUCAAAGGAGCAAUCCGGUGCAAGACGGGCUCGCGUCCGAUUAGGUAGUUGGUGGGGUAAUGGCCCACCAAGCCUAUGAUCGGUAGCCGACCUGAGAGGGUGAUCGGCCACAUUGGAACUGAGAUACGGUCCAAACUCCUACGGGAGGCAGCAGUGGGGAAUAUUGGGCAAUGGGGGAAACCCUGACCCAGCAACGCCGCGUGAAGGAAGAAGGUUUUCGGAUUGUAAACUUCUGUCCUUGGUGAAGAGAAGAAGACGGUAGCCAAGGAGGAAGCCCCGGCUAACUACGUG
rnacentral:rRNA from 1 species